rnacentral:rRNA from 1 species
AAAGGAAUAGACGGGUCCCCGCACAAGCAGCGGAGCGUGUGGUUUAAUUCGUUGCUACACGAAGAACCUUACCUGGGUUUGACAUAGCAGUGGUAGGAAAGUGAAAACGGACCGACCCUUCGGGGAGCUGUUACAGGUGUUGCAUGGCUGUCGUCAGCUCGUGUCGUGAGAUGUUCGGUUAAGUCCGCUAACGAGCGCAACCCGUGUUGUGUGUUACAAGUGUCACACAAUACCGCCGGUUUUAAGCCGGAGGAAGGUACGGAUGACGUCAAGUCAGCAUGACCUUUAUAUCCAGGGCUACACACACGCUACAAUGGACAGUACAACAGGUUGCCAAGCCGCGAGGCGGAGCCAAUCCCAUAAAGCUGUCCUCAGUUCAGAUUGUAGGCUGCAACUCGCCUGCAUGAAGUCGGAGUUGCUAGUAAACGCAGGUCAGCUAUACUGCGUUGAAUACGUUCUCGGGGAUUGUACACACCGCCCGU